rnacentral:rRNA from 1 species
UACGAACUGUGCAAACGUUAUUCGGAAUCACUGGGCUUAAAGGGUGCGUAGGCGGCUCAUUAGGUAGGGUGUGAAAGCCCCCGGCUCAACCGGGGAAUUGCGCCCUAAACCGGCGGGCUGGAGUGAGAUAGGGGUGUGUGGAACUUCCAGUGGAGCGGUGAAAUGUGUUGAUAUUGGAAGGAACGCCGGUGGCGAAAGCGACACACUGGGUCUCAACUGACGCUGAGGCACGAAAGCCAGGGGAGCAAACGGG